UACGUAGGGUGCGAGCGUUAAUCGGAAUUACUGGGCGUAAAGCGUGCGCAGGCGGUUCGUUAAGUUCGAUGUGAAAGCCCCGGGCUCAACCUGGGAACUGCAUUGGAAACUGGCGAGCUUGAGUAUGGCAGAGGGGGGUGGAAUUCCGCGUGUAGCAGUGAAAUGCGUAGAGAUGUGGAGGAACACCGAUGGCGAAGGCAGCCCCCUGGGUCAAGAUUGACGCUCAUGCACGAAAGCGUGGGGAGCAAACAGG
rnacentral:rRNA from 1 species